AUUCCUUACUCACAAAAAGCUCUAUCCUCCUCCUCAUGAAGGAGGCCUCAUGAGAUGGCCAUUGACAGAAGAGGUGCAGGCCCAUCGGAAAUCCCAUUACAAUGUUUCGACCGGAACAAAUGAGGAGAAGGAGCAAGAAAAUAUAUCUACCUCCAUGGCUGGAUCCUCAGGCACCAAAGUUCCCCUCCCCGGCAAGGAAAAAGUUAAAUGACCACAACACCCCUGGAUUCUACAGUUAACAGCAAAUUUCGU